UACGAAGGGGGCUAGCGUUGUUCGGAAUUACUGGGCGUAAAGCGUGCGCAGGCGGCUUCUCAAGUCAGUGGUGAAAGCCCGGAGCUCAACUCCGGAAUUGCCAUUGAAACUGUGGAGCUUGAGGACGAGAGAGGUGAGUGGAAUUCCCAGUGUAGAGGUGAAAUUCGUAGAUAUUGGGAAGAACACCGGUGGCGAAGGCGGCUCACUGACUCGUUUCUGACGCUCAGGCACGAUAGCGUGGGGAUCAAACAGG
rnacentral:rRNA from 1 species